GGCAGGCUUAACACAUGCAAGUCGAGGGGUAACAGAGGUAGCUUGCUACUUGCUGACGACCGGCGCACGGGUGCGUAACGCGUAUAGAAUCUACCUUAUACUGGGGGAUAGCCUUUGGAAACGAAGAUUAAUACCCCAUAGUAUGUUUGAAUGGCAUCAUUUGGACAUUAAAGUUUCGGCGGUAUAAGAUGACUAUGCGUUCUAUUAGUUUGUUGGUAAGGUAACGGCUUACCAAGACUACGAUAGAUAGGGGUCCUGAGAGGGAGAUCCCCCACACUGGUACUGAGACACGGACCAGACUCCUACGGGAGGCAGCAGUGAGGAAUAUUGGACAAUGGAGGCAACUCUGAUCCAGCCAUGCCGCGUGUAGGAAGACUGCCCUAUGGGUUGUAAACUACUUUUAUAUGGGAAGAAUAAGGUCUACGUGUAGACUGAUGACGGUACCAUAAGAAUAAGCACCGGCUAACUCCGUGCCAGCAGCCGCGGUAAUACGGAGGGUGCAAGCGUUAUCCGGAAUCAUUGGGUUUAAAGGGUCCGUAGGCGGGCAUAUAAGUCAGUGGUGAAAGUCUGUGGCUCAACCAUAGAAUUGCCAUUGAUACUGUAUGUCUUGAAUUAUUGUGAAGUGGUUAGAAUAUGUAGUGUAGCGGUGAAAUGCUUAGAGAUUACAUAGAAUACCGAUUGCGAAGGCAGAUCACUAACAAUAUAUUGACGCUGAUGGACGAAAGCGUAGGUAGCGAACAGGAUUAGAUACCCUGGUAGUCUACGCCGUAAACGAUGGAUACUAGUUGUUUGGUUUUCGGACUGAGUGACUAAGCGAAAGUGAUA
rnacentral:rRNA from 1 species